rnacentral:rRNA from 1 species
AGCUAGUUGGUGGGGUAAAAGCUUACCAAGGCAACGAUCAGUAGUUGGUCCUUGAGGACGGCCAACCACACUGGGACUGAAACACGGCCCAGACUCCUACGGGAGGCAGCAGUGGGGAAUUUUCGACAAUGGGCGAAAGCCUGAUCCAGCCAUGCCGCGUGAGUGAAGAAGGCCUUCGGGUUGUAAAGCUCUUUAAGUCGGAAAGAAAGAGUUGCAAUGAAUAAUUGUGAUUUAUGAGCCUACCGACAGAAAAAGCACCGGCUAACUACGUGCCAGCAGCCGCGGUAAUACGUAGGGUGCGAGCGUUAAUCGGAAUUACUGGGCGUAAAGGGUGCGCAGGCGGUCUUGCAAGUCAGAUGUGAAAGCCCCGGGCUUAACCU